rnacentral:misc_RNA from 1 species
AACGCACAUUGCGCCCGCUAGUAUUCUAGCGGGCAUGCCUGUUCGAGCGUCAUUUCAACCCUCAAGCCCUGCUUGGUGUUGGGGCCCUACGGCUGCCGUAGGCCCUGAAAGGAAGUGGCGGGCUCGCUACAACUCCGAGCGUAGUAGAAUCCUAUCUCGCUAGGGAGGUGUGACGUGCUCCGGCCGUUAAAGAACCCAUCUUUAACCCAAGGUUGACCUCGGAUCAGGUAGGAAUACCCGCUGAACUUAA